CAGCCGCCGCGGGAAUACAGAGGGUGCGAGCGUUAAUCGGAUUUACUGGGCGUAAAGCGUGCGUAGGCGGCUUUUUAAGUCGGAUGUGAAAUCCAUGAGCUUAACUUAGGAAUUGCAUUCGAUACUGGGAAGCUAGAGUAUGGGAGAGGAUGGUAGAAUUCCAGGUGUAGCGGUGAAAUGCGUAGAGAUCUGGAGGAAUACCGAUGGCGAAGGCAGCCAUCUGGCCUAAUACUGACGCUGAGGUACGAAAGCAUGGGGAGCAAACAGGAUUAGAUACCCCCGUAGUCCCUGUCUCUUAUAC
rnacentral:rRNA from 1 species